rnacentral:rRNA from 1 species
UCGAACGGUAACAGGUCUUCGGAUGCUGACGAGUGGCGAACGGGUGAGUAAUACAUCGGAACGUGCCCGAUCGUGGGGGAUAACGAAGCGAAAGCUUUGCUAAUACCGCAUAAGAUCUACAGAUGAAAGCAGGGGACCGCAAGGCCUUGCGCGAACGGAGCGGCCGAUGGCAGAUUAGGUAGUUGGUGGGAUAAAAGCUUACCAAGCCGACGAUCUGUAGCUGGUCUGAGAGGACGACCAGCCACACUGGGACUGAGACACGGCCCAGACUCCUACGGGAGGCAGCAGUGGGGAAUUUUGGACAAUGGGCGAAAGCCUGAUCCAGCCAUGCCGCGUGCAGGAUGAAGGCCUUCGGGUUGUAAACUGCUUUUGUACGGAACGAAAAGACUCUGGUUAAUACCUGGGGUCCAUGACGGUACCGUAAGAAUAAGCACCGGCUAACUACGUGCCAGCAGCCGCGGUAAUACGUAGGGUGCAAGCGUUAAUCGGAAUUACUGGGCGUAAAGCGUGCGCAGGCGGUUAUAUAAGACAGAUGUGAAAUCCCCGGGCUCAACCUGGGAACUGCAUUUGUGACUGUAUAGCUAGAGUACGGCAGAGGGGGAUGGAAUUCCGCGUGUAGCAGUGAAAUGCGUAGAUAUGCGGAGGAACACCGAUGGCGAAGGCAA